GACGAACGCUGGCGGCGUGCUUAACACAUGCAAGUCGAACGGUGAAGCGCCUUCCUUUUUGGUGGGUGUGGAUGAGUGGCGAACGGGUGAGUAACACGUGAGUAACCUGCCCCCUUCUUCUGGAUAACCGCAUGAAAGUGUGGCUAAUACGGGAUAUUCUGGGUCUGUCGCAUGAUGGGUCUGGGACAGAUAUUGUUUCGGUGGGGGAUGGGCUCGCGGCCUAUCAGCUUGUUGGUGGGGUGAUGGCCUACCAAGGCGGUGACGGGUAGCCGGCCUGAGAGGGUGGACGGUCACACUGGGACGGAGACACGGCGCAGACUCCUACGGGAGGCAGCAGUGGGGAAUAUUGCACAAUGGGCGCAAGCCUGAUGCAGCGACGCCGCGUGAGGGAUGGAGGCCUUCGGGUUGUGAACCUCUUUCGCCAGUGAAGCAGGCCUGCCUCGUUUGUGGGUGGGUUGACGGUAGCUGGAUAAGAAGCGCCGGCUAACUACGUG
rnacentral:rRNA from 1 species